GUUGUAUAGUCAAGUAAUUAAGUGCAUGUGGUGGAUGCCUUGGCAGUCAGAGGCGAUGAAAGACGUGAUAGCCUGCGAAAAGCUCCGGGGAGGCGGCAAAUAUCCUUUGAUCCGGAGAUGUCUGAAUGGGGGAACCCACCUACUUUAAGGUAGGUAUUGCAACAUGAAUACAUAGUGUUGCAAGGCGAACGAGGGGAAGUGAAACAUCUCAGUACCCUUAGGAAAAGAAAUCAAUUGAGAUUCCCUCAGUAGCGGCGAGCGAACGGGGAUCAGCCCAUUAAGUUAUGUGUGUUUUAGUGGAACGCUCUGGGAAGUGCGAACGUAGAGGGUGAUAUUCCCGUACACGAAAGGGCACACAUAAUGAUGACGAGUAGGGCGAGGCACGUGAAACCUUGUCUGAAUAUGGGGGGACCAUCCUCCAAGGCUAAAUACUCCUGACUGACCGAUAGUGAACCAGUACCGUGAGGGAAAGGCGAAAAGAACCCCUGUGAGGGGAGUGAAAUAGAUCCUGAAACCGCAUGCAUACAAGCAGUGGGAGCACCUUCGUGGUGUGACUGCGUACCUUUUGUAUAAUGGGUCAGCGACUUAUAUUCAGUAGCGAGGUUAACCGUAUAGGGGAGCCGUAGAGAAAUCGAGUCUUAAUAGGGCGUUUAGUUGCUGGGUAUAGACCCGAAACCAGGCGAUCUAUCCAUGAGCAGGUUGAAGGUUGGGUAACACUAACUGGAGGACCGAACCCACUGUCGUUGAAAAGCCAGGGGAUGACUUGUGGAUAGGGGUGAAAGGCUAAUCAAGCCUGGUGAUAGCUGGUUCUCCCCGAAAGCUAUUUAGGUAGCGCCUCGGACGAAUACCAUAGGGGGUAGAGCACUGUUUCGGCUAGGGGGUCAUCCCGACUUACCAAACCGAUGCAAACUCCGAAUACCUAUGAGUACUAUCCGGGAGACAGACUGCGGGUGCUAACGUCCGUAGUCAAGAGGAAAACAAUCCAGACCGCCAGCUAAGGCCCCAAAAUCAUAGUUAAGUGGGAAACGAUGUGGGAAGGCAUAGACAGCUAGGAGGUUGGCUUAGAAGCAGCCACCCUUUAAAGAAAGCGUAAUAGCUCACUAGUCGAGUCGGCCUGCGCGGAAGAUGUAACGGGGCUAAAACUAUGUGCCGAAGCUGCGGAUACUUUGUAACGUGGUAGGGGAGCGUUCUGUAAGCCGAUGAAGGUGUGUUGAGAAGCAUGCUGGAGGUAUCAGAAGUGCGAAUGCUGACGUGAGUAACGACAAAACGGGUGAAAAACCCGUUCGCCGAAAGACCAAGGGUUCCAGUCCAACGUUAAUCGGGGCUGGGUGAGUCGACCCCUAAGGCGAGGCCGAAAGGCGUAGUCGAUGGGAAAAUGGUUAAUAUUCCAUUACUUCUGUGUAAUGCGAUGAGAGGACGGAGAAGGCUAAAUCAGCCUGGCGUUGGUUGUCCAGGUGAAAGGAUGUAGGCAUGUAUCUUAGGCAAAUCCGGGGUACUCUAUGCUGAGAUCUGAUAGCAAGCUGUACUUGUACAGCGAAGUGGUUGAUGCCAUGCUUCCAGGAAAAGUCUCUAAGCUUCAGUUACACAGGAAUCGUACCCGAAACCGACACAGGUGGUCAGGUCGAGUAGACCAAGGCGCUUGAGAGAACUCUGCUGAAGGAACUAGGCAAAAUGGUACCGUAACUUCGGGAGAAGGUACGCUGUUGUUGGUGAUGGAACUCGCUUCCUGAGCUGACGACAGCCGCAGAAACCAGGCCGCUGCAACUGUUUAUUAAAAACAUAGCACUCUGCAAACACGAAAGUGGACGUAUAGGGUGUGAUGCCUGCCCGGUGCUGGAAGGUUAAUUGAUGGGGUUAGCGUAAGCGAAGCUCUUGAUCGAAGCCCCAGUAAACGGCGGCCGUAACUAUAACGGUCCUAAGGUAGCGAAAUUCCUUGUCGGGUAAGUUCCGACCUGCACGAAUGGCAUAAUGAUGGCGGCGCUGUCUCCAGCAGAGGCUCAGUGAAAUCGAAAUCGCUGUGAAGAUGCAGUGUACCCGCGGCUAGACGGAAAGACCCCGUGAACCUUUACUGCAGCUUGACACUGAACUUUGACCUUACUUGUGUAGGAUAGGUGGGAGGCUUUGAAGCUGGAACGCUAGUUCCAGUGGAGCCGUCCUUGAAAUACCACCCUGGUAAUGUUGAGGUUCUAACUCUGUCCCGUGAUCCGGGACGAGGACCGUGUCUGGUGGGUAGUUUGACUGGGGCGGUCUCCUCCUAAAGAGUAACGGAGGAGUACGAAGGUGCGCUCAGCGUGGUCGGAAAUCACGCGUAGAGUAUAAAGGCAAAAGCGCGCUUAACUGCGAGACCCACAAGUCGAGCAGGUACGAAAGUAGGUCUUAGUGAUCCGGUGGUUCUGUAUGGAAGGGCCAUCGCUCAACGGAUAAAAGGUACUCUGGGGAUAACAGGCUGAUACCGCCCAAGAGUUCAUAUCGACGGCGGUGUUUGGCACCUCGAUGUCGGCUCAUCUCAUCCUGGGGCUGAAGCAGGUCCCAAGGGUAUGGCUGUUCGCCAUUUAAAGAGGUACGCGAGCUGGGUUUAGAACGUCGUGAGACAGUUCGGUCCCUAUCUACCGUGGGCGCUGGAAAUUUGAGAGGAUCUGCUCCUAGUACGAGAGGACCAGAGUGGACGAACCUCUGGUGUACCGGUUGUGACGCCAGUCGCAUCGCCGGGUAGCUAUGUUCGGAAGGGAUAACCGCUGAAAGCAUCUAAGCGGGAAGCCUACCUCAAGAUAAGAUUUCCCUAGGACUUUAUGUCCUCUAAAGAGCCGUUCGAGACUAGGACGUUGAUAGGUUGGAUGUGGAAGCAUAGUGAUAUGUGAAGCUGACCAAUACUAAUUGCUCGUGAGGCUUGACUAUACAACACCCAAGCAGUUG
rnacentral:rRNA from 1 species